rnacentral:rRNA from 1 species
AACGAACGCUGGCGGCAUGCCUAACACAUGCAAGUCGAACGAAGGCUUCGGCCUUAGUGGCGCACGGGUGCGUAACACGUGGGAAUCUGCCCUUUGGUUCGGAAUAACAGCUGGAAACGGCUGCUAAUACCGGAUGAUGACGAAAGUCCAAAGAUUUAUCGCCAGAGGAUGAGCCCGCGUUGGAUUAGGUAGUUGGUGGGGUAAAGGCCUACCAAGCCGACGAUCCAUAGCUGGUCUGAGAGGAUGAUCAGCCACACUGGGACUGAGACACGGCCCAGACUCCUACGGGAGGCAGCAGUGGGGAAUAUUGGACAAUGGGCGCAAGCCUGAUCCAGCAAUGCCGCGUGAGUGAUGAAGGCCCUAGGGUUGUAAAGCUCUUUUACCCGGGAAGAUAAUGACUGUACCGGGAGAAUAAGCCCCGGCUAACUCCGUG